GAUGAACGCUGGCGGCGUGCCUAAUACAUGCAAGUCGAGCGAACAGAUAAGGAGCUUGCUCCUUUGACGUUAGCGGCGGACGGGUGAGUAACACGUGGGUAACCUACCUAUAAGACUGGGAUAACUUCGGGAGACCGGAGCUAAUACCGGAUAACAUUUGGAACCGCAUGGUUCUAAAGUGAAAGAUGGUUUUGCUAUCACUUAUAGAUGGACCCGCGCCGUAUUAGCUAGUUGGUAAGGUAACGGCUUACCAAGGCAACGAUACGUAGCCGACCUGAGAGGGUGAUCGGCCACACUGGAACUGAGACACGGUCCAGACUCCUACGGGAGGCAGCAGUAGGAAAUCUUCCGCAAUGGGCGAAAGCCUGACGGAGCAACGCCGCGUGAGUGAUGAAGGGUUUCGGCUCGUAAAACUCUGUUAUUAGGGAAGAACAAACGUGUAAGUAACUGUGCACGUCUUGACGGUACCUAAUCAGAAAGCCACGGCUAACUACGUG
rnacentral:rRNA from 1 species